rnacentral:rRNA from 1 species
UACGUAGGGGGCAAGCGUUAUCCGGAUUUACUGGGUGUAAAGGGAGCGUAGACGGCGCGGCAAGUCUGAAGUGAAAGGCAGGGGCUUAACCCCUGAACUGCUUUGGAAACUGCCAUGCUAGAGUGCUGGAGAGGUAAGUGGAAUUCCUAGUGUAGCGGUGAAAUGCGUAGAUAUUAGGAGGAACACCAGUGGCGAAGGCGGCUUACUGGACAGUAGCUGACGUUGAGGCUCGAAAGCGUGGGGAGCAAACAGG